AAAGAUUAAGCCAUGCAUGUCUAAGUAUAAGCACUCAUACUGUGAAACUGCGAAUGGCUCAUAAAUCAGUAUCGUUUAUUGAUAGUACCUUACUACUUGGAUACCCGUGGUAAUUCUAGAGCUAAUACAUGCUGAAAACCCCGACUUCGGGAGGGGUGUGUUUAUUAGAUAAAAAACCAAUGCCCUUUCGGGGCUGCUUGGUGAUUCAUGAUAACCAAACGAAUCGCAUGGCCUUGAGCCGGCGAUGGUUCAUUCAAAUUUCUGCCCUAUCAACUUUCGAUGGUAGGAUCUGGGCCUACCAUGGUAUCAACGGGUAACGGGGAAUUAGGGUUCGAUUCCGGAGAGGGAGCCUGAGAAACGGCUACCACAUCCAAGGAAGGCAGCAGGCGCGCAAAUUACCCAAUCCCGACACGGGGAGGUAGUGACAAUAAAUACUGAUACAGGGCUCUUUAGGGUCUUGUAAUUGGAAUGAGUACAAUUUAAACCCCUUAACGAGGAACAAUUGGAGGGCAAGUCUGGUGCCAGCAGCCGCGGUAAUUCCAGCUCCAAUAGCGUAUAUUAAAGUUGUUGCAGUUAAAAAGCUCGUAGUUGAACCUUGGGACAGGCUAGCCGGUCCGCCUUACCGCGUGCACUGGUUUGGCCGGUCCCUUUCCUCUGGCAAACCGCAUGCCCUUCACUGGGCGUGUCGGGGAACCAGGACUUUUACUUUGAAAAAAUUAGAGUGUUCAAAGCAGGCCUUUGCUCGGAUACAUUAGCAUGGAAUAAUAGAAUAGGACGCGUGGUUCUAUUUUGUUGGUUUCUAGAACCGCCGUAAUGAUUAAUAGGGACAGUCGGGGGCAUCAGUAUUCAGACGCGAGAGGUGAAAUUCUUAGACCGUCUGAAGACUAACUACUGCGAAAGCAUUUGCCAAGGAUGUUUUCAUUAAUCAGUGAACGAAAGUUGGGGGAUCGAAGACGAUCAGAUACCGUCGUAGUCUCAACCGUAAACUAUGCCGACUAGGGAUCGGGCGACGUUCCAUUUAUGACUCGCCCGGCACCUUACGAGAAAUCAAAGUC
rnacentral:rRNA from 1 species